UACGAAGGGGGCUAGCGUUGCUCGGAAUCAUUGGGCGUAAAGGGCGCGUAGGCGGACAGUUAAGUCAGAGGUGAAAGCCCAGGGCUCAACCUUGGAAUUGCCUUUGAUACUGACUGUCUUGAGUACGGGAGAGGUGUGUGGAACUCCGAGUGUAGAGGUGAAAUUCGUAGAUAUUCGGAAGAACACCAGUGGCGAAGGCGACACACUGGCCCGUUACUGACGCUGAGGCGCGAAAGCGUGGGUAGCAAACAGG
rnacentral:rRNA from 1 species